ACUCAAAUGAAUUGACGGGGACUUGCACAAGCAGUGGAUUAUGCGGUUUAAUUCGAUGAUAAACGAAAAACCUUACCAAGGUUAGAAAUCUAUGGGAAUACGAGCAGAAACGUUCGUAGUCCGCAAGGACUCAUAGACAGGUGUUGCAUGGCCGUCGUCAGUUCGUGAUUUGAAUUGUUCCCUUAAGUGGGGUAACGAACGCAACCCUCGUUGCCAGUUACAAGUGUCUGGCGAGACUGCCCCGUAUUCUGGGCACAAGCGAAAGCUUGCGAAUAGAAUACGGGGAGGAAGGCGAGGAUGACGCCAGGUCAGCAUGACCCUUGAUACCUUGGGCUACACGCAUAAUACAAUGGCUACUACAACAGGUUGCGCCGGGGUAACCCUAAGCUAAUCCUUAUAAAAGUAGCCUCAGUUCGGAUUGAGGGCUGAAACUCGACCUCAUGAAGUUGGAAUUGCUAGUAAUCGCGGGUCAGCUAUACCGCGGUGAAUACGUUCUCAAGUCUUGUACACACCGCCCGU
rnacentral:rRNA from 1 species